rnacentral:lncRNA from 1 species
GGAGGCUGGAGGCUCUGCUCCCACAUGUGGCAGCGGGCUGAGGCUUUCCGACAGCUGGGACAGACCUCGCUUUCAGCAGCCUGAGCUCUACCACGGCGCUGCUCUGCAGCGUGGCUCCCCGCCGUGCUCAGGAGCAAAGCUGGGGGCACAGGAGCUUUUCCAGGGAGCGUGGCGAGGAGCAGCCGGGCCCUGCAGAGCAUGAGGGAGCUGGUGGAACUGGUGGGGAGGCUGGGGCCAGUACGGGGCUGGGGCAAGGUCUCGGGCACGGAGCAUGGAGCCAGCUCACAGAGCACGGGAGAUGUGCUCAGAUGGGGUUUUGCACUGAAGAGUAACAGGCAAUGAAAGUGAUGUCAGCUGCGGUCUGAGGAAGGACCCGCUGUGUUGUGUGGUGUCUGCACACCGGCACGGGAAACCCCCAAGCCUGAAGUCAGUGGGAGCAUUGCUGCUGCCUUCAGUGAAAGGAAGAGUUCAGCCUGCUCCCUGCCUCGGGGCCACUAAAGAGCUUGCAGCAGUCUGAGGGGGUUUCAUGGCGCUGGGACUUCUCUCUACUUGUCGGAGGACAAAGCAAACACUGAGCCUUUACUGGGGUCUGGGAGUCUGGGACCUACAGGCUCCAGAAAUUACAAGGUUACACUGCUGAAGGCUGUAGGUAAUAAAACAUAUUUGCUCAAUUGCUUUAUUUGUCUAGGAUCUCCAGGCAUGCUGCUUACGAAACACAGAGCAGUUUCCAACCCAAACACUUCGGUGCAGAGUGAGAGACAGCAGAAGCAAUAACAAGCGAGCGGAGAAGAUUAUACCCCACGUGGACUCUGGAUGCUUUGUCUCGGGCAGGGGACGUGCAGCCUGUUUUCCUCGGCCCCAGCACAGCCCUCGCAAGUGCUCGCCUCCGUACGGGAAAGGAGAAGCACAAACAAACGAAAAACUAUUGUAAAACUUGCGCCGCUUUGUCUGUCCUGCGCGGCCAGGGGCUGAGUGCUGAUGGAAAGCCGCGGGCACGGGGAGGCUCGGCCGGGCCGGGGAGCUCUGCCAGCCCCGGGGGGCUCCGUACGGAGCGGCGGGGGGUGCUCGGAGCCCGGGGGUGCGGAGCGGGGGAGCCCCCGGGGGCGCGGGGCAGUGCUGGAAUGCGGGGCCCCGCGGGGAAACGGAGGCGCGGCGAGGG